rnacentral:rRNA from 1 species
UACGUAGGGCGCGAGCGUUGUCCGGAUUUAUUGGGCGUAAAGAGCUCGUAGGCGGCUUGUCGCGUCGGAUGUGAAAGCCCGGGGCUUAACUCCGGGUCUGCAUUCGAUACGGGCAGGCUAGAGUUCGGUAGGGGAGAUCGGAAUUCCUGGUGUAGCGGUGAAAUGCGCAGAUAUCAGGAGGAACACCGGUGGCGAAGGCGGAUCUCUGGGCCGAUACUGACGCUGAGGAGCGAAAGCGUGGGGAGCGAACAGG